UGGGAUUUCUAUGGGCCUAUGGGGUUUCUAUGGGGUCCUGAUGGGAUUUCUAUGGGGUUUUGAUGGGAUCCCUAUGGGAUUUCUGUGGGGUUUCUACAGGGUUUCUAUGGGGUCCCUAUGGGGUCCCUAUGGGGUUUCUGUGGGGUUUCUGUGGGGUUUUUAUGUGGUUUCUAUGGGGUCCCUACGGGAUUUCUGUGGGGUUUCUACGGGGUUUCUGUGGGGUCUCUAUGGGGUUUCUAUGGGGUUUCUAUGGGGUUUUAAUGGGGUUUUUAUGGGGUUCCUACAGGAUUUCUAUGGGGUUUUUACGGUUUUUUUAUGGGGUCCCUAUGGGAGUUCUGUGGGGUUUCUAUGGGGUUUUUAUGGGGUUUCUAUUGGGUCUUUAGGGGGUUUCUAUGGGGUCCCUACAGGGUCCCUAUGGGAUUUCUAUGGGAUUUCUGUGGGGUUUCUGUGGGGUUUCUACGGGGUCCCUAUGGGAUUUCUAUGGGGUCCCUAUGGGGUUUCUAUGGGAUUUCUACGGGGUCCCUACGGGGUUUCUGUGGGGUUUCUGUGGGGUCCCUAUGGGGUCCCUAUGGGGUCCCUAUGGGGCUUCUAUGGGGUUUUUAUGGGGUUUCUAUGGGGUUUCUACUGGGUUUCUAUGGGGUCCCUACGGGAUUUCUGUGGGAUUUCAAUGGGGUUUCUAUCGGGUCUCUAUGGGGUCCCUACGGGGUUUUUAUGGGGUUUUUAUGGGGUACCUAUGGGGUUUCUAUGGGGUUUUUAUGGGGUUUCUGUGGGAUUUCUAUGGGUCCCUACGGGAUUUCUAUGGGGUUUUAGUGGGGUUUUUAUGGGGUCCCUAUGGGGUUUCUAUGGGGUCCCUAUGGGGUUUCUAUGGGGUCCCUAUGGGGUUUCUAUGGGAUUUCUAUGGGCUUUUUAUGGGGUUUUUAUGGGGUUUCUAUGGGGUCCCUACGGGAUUUCUGUGGGGUUUCUAUGGGGUUUCUGUGGGUUCCCUAUGGGGUUUCUAUGGGUCCCUAUGGGAUUUCUAUGGGAUUUCUAUGGGUCCCUAUGGGAUUUCUGUGGGGUUCCUAUGGGGUUUUUAUGGGGUUUCUAUGGGAUUUCUGUGGGUCCCUAUGGGAUUUCCGUGGCGUUCCUAUGGGGUUUUUAUGGGCUCCCUACGCUUUUCUACGGGGUCGCGACGUGCCUGUGGGAUUUCCACGGGCCCGCGGGCUUUCUACGGGAUUUUUACGGGGUGCCCCGCCCCGUGCCCCACACCUCACCCCCCGCCCCCCGUACCCCCGACAGCCGCCUCGUCGCCUCGGCCGGCCGCUGGACGGCGCUGCUCCUGGGGGCCCUCCUCAUCGCCUCCCUCCCGCUGGCCCAGCCGGGGGGCGGCCGCCGGGGGGCGGUGCUGCGGGCGGCCGGCCGGCUGGCCGUGGGGGCCACCGUCAUGGCCGCCGCCGCCCCCCGCCUCUUCGCCGCCCUCGAGGCCGCCGCCGGCCUCCGCCCUUCCCCGCAGGCCUUCGGCCUCGUCCUCUGCGGCCUGGGGCUGGGCGAGGAGCUGGGGGCGCUGGCGAGGCUCCUGCACCCGCCCC
rnacentral:lncRNA from 1 species